GGUGAUAGCACGGAUACAGACAGCCCGAUCAUGCAUUCUUCUACAAGCCUGCCGGCAUCAUUUAGGAUCUGAAAAAUAAUCUAGAAAAGCUAUACCCUAUAUAAUAUUAUUUUUUACUUUACAAUAGCUAACUGUUUUUUGUUUUGUUGUUGUUGUUGUUAGCAAUUCUAUGAAAUUAAUCGUCUACAAAAUGCAUCCCAAACCAGAUACAUACUGUAUUGAAAGCUUUCUUCAAGAAGAUAUGACAGUAUUCAUUCCAGCUUAUUUUCUUCAUUAGCAAAAGGAUUGUUUGAUUCUCAGAAGCAAAAGGACACAUUCAUUGUGCAGCAGCUCUGCUUAAGUUUGAACCAAGACUCUGAGGCUGAUAUGCAAUGUCACUUACAACAUUAAUCAGAUACUGCAUUUAAGUGCUGGUAUCAGUGGUUUGAUUUUCAGCAAAUGUGACAGUGGCCUUUGCAGUGGUCAGCUCCGGGCUUUGAACUCUCAGAGGAGGAAGGGAAAAAAAAUUCAACACACCACCUCCUUGGUUGCAGCCUCAGAGAAACCUUGGAUGAGAAACUUCUUUUUUUCAAUCCUGUUUUCCUGUUGAUAAAUUCAGUUCUCGUGAUCACAGUACAUUCAAGCUGUUCUGCGUAUGAUUUUGUGUGUGUGUGACAAUUGCAUCUAAAACUUGUGAGCAAGAAGACGGAGAAAUCAGUUGGUCUCCAUCGCUUUACAUAAAAAUGGCUGAGUGUCUUGUCAUGCUAGCACUGCAUUAAGUGAUACAUACAGGUAGGUCGAAAUUUGCAUGUUUUAUAGAUUUUUUUGAGCCAUGCAGCAAGAAUUUUAGAUGGAUUAAAAUAUGACUUUUGGAACAAACAUUAAAUAAGACAGCUGUAAUUUUUUGGAGGGAGGGCAUUAAAUUGGAUAGGCUUUCCUAUUCAGAUACUAUAUAAAUAUAUAGCUUUGAUAAACUCACAAAAUGAUUCUGCUAUAAUAGUGAGAUGAUUCCUUUUUAAAAAAUCAUAUAUAUGAUAGGUGUGGCGCCAUUAGACAACAAAAGAAUUUUUUGAAAAGUCUGUUGAUUCAGCUCCAUUUUAGCUUGAAACUAAAAAUAAAUGGGUUUCUUGAGAUAAUUUCAAAGAGCGCAAACAAGCUUAAUAAGAAACAUUUAAAAUAUUUAAAUUUUAAGAAGCGGUCUUUAAACGUGUUAUAUGAAAGAUGGAAAUAAAAACUUACAUGCUUCCAAAAUCAAUUUUAGAUAAUAUAGAAGAAUAAAUAUGCUAUUUGUAUAUCUAUUAUCCGGAGAGAUGAGGAGUUACAAUUUUUGAAGGGGGGAGUAUUAAAUGUAGAUGGCCCUGUUAGAAGAAAAAGAGCUUCACUGAAUGAAAAAGAGUCCCUAGAAUGGUUCAUUGCAGAUCAUACAGCUGUGGUUCUGUAAGUACCAAAUUCUGGCACUUUUCAAAAUAAUUUCAUGGGCUCUUUCCUUUGAGCUUAACUUCCGAAAUAUAUUUUAGUUUCAAAUUAACACUGGGCCAGAACCUGUUUCCUUGGUAACCAAAUCUUGUUUAAAAAUGCAAUAACAGAUAUGCAAAAGAUUGUCUUAAAAAAAGAAACAAAUGGUUAAUGAAAAUUGUACAGUUCUUUUUCCUCUCAUAUAGAGUCUGGACUGGUUUUAGACGUUUUUAAAUGCGGUCUUCAAGCCUUAAAAAUUAAGCCAUAUUUCUACACUUAUAGAGAAAGCUUGCACAGGGAGAGCUUUUUUCUUCCUCAUUUGUGCUCAGUACUUUCAAAAUUAAGAUUUUCUUUGUAACAUGCCCCAGAAUGCUGGUCAAGGUCUGUGUACAGAGGUGUAGUUUCAUUAUCACUGGUUCACCAGCGCCCCUGAAACAAAAGGCAUCUCAGAAAUUCUGAGAAUCAGAAAAUGCUUGUGCUCUUGUUUUCCCUGAUCCCUCCAUUGGUAACCUCAGAGCUCUCGGUAGAGAAGGACCCAAACCCAGGCCCACCCCCCCAAUGAGAAGUGCACAUGGAGCCUUUGUGGGAACGUCUUUGUAGAUGUGCUCGGAGGAAGAUACUGGCAAACCUGAAACCUCUAUGAGGUUUGCUCCGAUGUGAAGAACAUCGAGACUCAGAACCAUCUGUGUAAAUAGCUGCUUUAUUCUAGCAGUUGGUCUAAUGUUCCAAAGUACCGUGUAUAAAGUCAAACCUCUUAUGGGCUAAAGGUUUGUUGCUGCUGUUGUUGUUGUGUUGUUUUGAGGCCAACUUGAAUAUUUUGCUUGGAGUCUUUCUCUGGCUCAAUGAUAUCAGAACAUGAUUCAUCCCAUAGUGAUUUCGUUCUUUGGGCUUGCCAUGAAA